GGCGAACGCUGGCGGCGUGCUUAACACAUGCAAGUCGAACGAUGAAGCCCAGCUUGCUGGGUGGAUUAGUGGCGAACGGGUGAGUAACACGUGGGCAACCUGCCCCAAACUCUGGGAUAACUCCUCGAAAGAGGUGCUAAUACCGGAUACGAACUAGACAGACAUCUGUACUAGUUGGAAAGUUUCUCGGUCUGGGAUGAGCUCGCGGCCUAUCAGCUUGUUGGUGAGGUAAUGGCUCACCAAGGCGUCGACGGGUAGCCGGCCUGAGAGGGUGACCGGCCACACUGGGACUGAGACACGGCCCAGACUCCUACGGGAGGCAGCAGUGGGGAAUAUUGCACAAUGGGCGGAAGCCUGAUGCAGCAACGCCGCGUGAGGGAUGACGGCCUUCGGGUUGUAAACCUCUUUUAGCAGGGAAGAAGCGAAAGUGACGGUACCUGCAGAAAAAGCGCCGGCUAACUACGUGCCAGCAGCCGCAGUAA
rnacentral:rRNA from 1 species